rnacentral:rRNA from 1 species
GUAGGAUCCGAGCGUUAUCCGAAUUUACUGGGCGUAAAGCGCGUGUAGGCGGUCGGGUAAGUUGGACGUGAAAGCUCCUGGCUCAACUAGGAGAGGUCGUUCAAAACUGCCUGGCUAGAGGGCGACAGAGGGAGGUGGAAUUCCCGGUGUAGUGGUGAAAUGCGUAGAUAUCGGGAGGAACACCAGUGGCGAAGGCGGCCUCCUGGGUCGCACCUGACGCUCAGACGCGAAAGCUAGGGGAGCGAACGGGAUUAGAUACCCCGGGUAGUCCUAGCUGUAAACGAUGUGGACUUGGCGUUGGUGGGGUUAAAUCCCAUCAGUGCCGUAGCUAACGCGAUAAGUCCACCGCCUGGGGACUACGGUCGCAAGAUUA